CUAUUGAAUCAACGGCUGCUUCACGUUUGGAACCUUUCCAACAUACCACUUAAGAGUAAACCAGUUUCUCCAUAUGAAAUCUUCUCAAUAUUUCAUCUAUGUAAAUUGGGAUAAGUUAAGCAAUCUUCUAGAUCUACCUCUAUAGAUCAAGUUGCUUAUCCCAUAUCAUUUAUGAAUAAAUCUUUUAACAACCAUUAUUUCAACGAUUGAAAUAUAGGGAUGUCGUUUUAGGAAUACGAAAAAUGCUCUCACUAUCUUCUUGUAAACACACAAUUCAUUUUCAAAUUUGAUAAAAUCAAACACUUUGACUUUUCAUCAAAUCUAAGAUUUCAGCUCCAAGAGACUUCUCUUAACCUAUAGACACAAUAUGCAACUGUUGUAAACAAAACCCGAAUGGACUUAAGCAAGGCUAUAGGAGAACUAUUUCACCAAGGUCAACAUUUAACCUUUGCUUCUAGCAUUGCUUUGUAUAUAUN
rnacentral:lncRNA from 1 species